rnacentral:rRNA from 1 species
AUGGCGGCGGCGGCGGCGUCUCCGGCCAUCGCGCCGUCCUCCUUCCCCUCCACCCGCACGGGACCGCUGCUCUCCUUUCGCGUCUCGAGGAAGCUCAGGGUCUCCGCCGCGGCGGCAUCGGCCGACCCGCCCCCGGCCUUCAGGUCCGUCACGGCGUUCGCGCCGGCCACGGUGGCGAACCUGGGGCCGGGUUUCGAUUUUCUGGGCUGCGCCGUCGCCGACGCCUCGCUCUCCCUCGGCGACACCGUGACCGCCACGCUCGACCCCACGCUGCCCGCCGGCACGGUCGCCAUCUCGGGCAUCACCUCCCCGUCCUUCCCGCGCCUCGCCGAACGCCUCUCCCGCGACCCGCUCCGCAACUGCGCCGGCAUUGCCGCCGUCGCCGCGCUCAGCGCCCUCGGCGUCCGCUCGCACGGCGUCUCGCUCAGCCUCGCCAAGGGCCUGCCGCUCGGCUCCGGCCUGGGCUCCUCGGCCGCCUCCGCAGCCGCCGCCGCCAAGGCCGUGGACGCGCUCUUCGGCUCGCUGCUCCCCCGCGACGGCCUCGUGCUCGCCGGCCUCGAGUCCGAGAAGGCCGUCAGCGGCUUCCACGCCGACAACAUCGCCCCGGCCAUCCUCGGGGGCUUCGUCCUCGUGCGGAGCUAUGAGCCUUUCCGCCUCGUCCAGCUCCCCUGCCCGCCCGCACUCCACCUCUGCUUCGUCCUCGUCACGCCUGAGUUCGAGGCGCCCACCAGCAGGAUGCGCGCCGCCCUGCCCAAGAACGUCGCCCUCAGCCACCACACCCGCAAUUCCAGCCAGGCUGCUGCGCUCGUCGCUGCCGUCCUGCAGGGUGACGCCGCCCUCAUCGGUUCGGCAAUGUCGUCUGACUUCAUCGUCGAGCCCACCAGGGCGCCGCUGAUUCCCGGCAUGGCCGCGGUGAAGGCCGCCGCCCUGGAAGCCGGAGCGCUAGGAUGCACCAUCAGCGGAGCGGGCCCAACCGCCGUGGCUGUCAUCGAGGGAGAGGAGAAGGGGGAGGAGGUCACGCGGAGGAUGGUUGACGCCUUCCUUUCAGUGGGGAAACUGAAAGCCGCCGCCACCAUCGCGCAGCUUGAUAGAGAUGGCGCCAGGGUUAUCUCCACCUCAAGUUUGGAGUAG